rnacentral:miRNA from 1 species
GACGUCGAUAUUCGACGUCAUAAACACGAUCAACUUUGGUGUUUAUGACGUCGAUAUUCGACGUCAUAAACACGAUAAACUUAGAUGUUUAUGACGUCGAUAUUCGACAUCAUAAACACGAUCAACUUUGGUGUUUAUGACGUCGAUAUUCGACGUC